GAGUUUGAUCCUGGCUCAGGACGAACGCUGGCGGCGUGCCUAAUACAUGCAAGUCGAGCGGACCUGAUGGAGUGCUUGCACUCCUGACGGUUAGCGGCGGACGGGUGAGUAACACGUAGGCAACCUGCCCGUAAGACCGGGAUAACUACCGGAAACGGUAGCUAAUACCGGAUAAUCAAGUCUUCCGCAUGGGAGGCUUGGGAAAGGCGGUUCUGAAUUUAUUCAGGGCUGUCACUUACGGAUGGGCCUGCGGCGCAUUAGCUAGUUGGUGGGGUAACGGCUCACCAAGGCGACGAUGCGUAGCCGACCUGAGAGGGUGAACGGCCACACUGGGACUGAGACACGGCCCAGACUCCUACGGGAGGCAGCAGUAGGGAAUCUUCCGCAAUGGACGAAAGUCUGACGGAGCAACGCCGCGUGAGUGAUGAAGGUUUUCGGAUCGUAAAGCUCUGUUGCCAGGGAAGAACGUCUUCUGGAGUAACUGCCAGGAGAGUGACGGUACCUGAGAAGAAAGCCCCGGCUAACUACGUGCCAGCAGCCGCGGUAAUACGUAGGGGGCAAGCGUUGUCC
rnacentral:ncRNA from 1 species